GCGAGACGGUGGCCCACAGCGCGAGUGCGACCGAUAAACUGUUCAGGGUCGGCACCGGGCGCAGCCCUCGUGCCGACUGCAAAUGAUCAGCCAGCAGCCGCUGCAACCACAGGGAG
rnacentral:sRNA from 1 species